rnacentral:rRNA from 1 species
GAUGAACGCUGACAGAAUGCUUAACACAUGCAAGUCAACUGUGGUGGAGGGGUGAGUAACGCGUAAAGAACUUGCCUCACAGAUAGGGUCAACAUUUGGAAUCGCAUGCUAAUACCAGCUACUGUGAGGGAGCUUUGCGUCCCAUGAGCUAGUUGGAGAGGUAACGGCUCAACAAGGCGAUGAUGGGUAGCCGGCCUGAGAGGGUGAUCGGCCACAAGGGGCCUGGGACCCGGCGCUUACGCCUACGGGAGGCAGCAGUGGGGAAUAUUGGACAAUGGGUCAAAGUCUGAUCCAGCAAUUCUGUGUGCAAGAUGAAGUUUUCGGAAUGAAAAGUGCUUUCAGUUGGGAAGCGGUACCAACAGAAGAAGUGACGGCUAAAUCCGUGCCAGCAGCCGCGGUAAGAC